rnacentral:rRNA from 1 species
CCUACGGGAGGCAGCAGUGGGGAAUAUUGGGCAAUGGGCGCAAGCCUGACCCAGCAACGCCGCGUGGAGGAAGAAGGCUUUCGGGUUGUAAACUUCUUUUGAGAGGGAAGAGAAUAAGACUGUAUAACUUGAAUAAGCCACGGCUAACUGCGUGCCAGCAGCCGCGGUUACACGGAGGUGGCAAGCGUUUUUCGGAUUCACUGGGUGUAAAGGGCGUGUAGGCGGGCUAACAAGUCAGAUGUGAAAUUCCGGGGCUCAACCACAGACCUGCAUUUGAAACUGUUGGUCUAGAGUAUCGGAGAGGCAGGUGGAAUUCUUAGUGUAGGGGUAAAAUGCGUAGAUAUUAGGAGGAACACUCGUGGCGAAGGCGACCUGCUAGACGAUAACUGACGGUGAGGCGCGAAAGCGUGGGGAGCAAACAGGAUUAGAUACCCCUGUAGUC